CCUGGUUGAUCCUACCAGUAGUCAUAUGCUUGUCUCAAAGAUUAAGCCAUGCAUGUGUAAGUAUGAAGAAAUUCAGACUGUGAAACUGCGAAUGGCUUAUUAAAUCAGUUAUAGAUUGUUUGAUGGUAUCUACUAAUUGGAUAACUGUAGUAAUUCUAGAGAAAAUACGUGCAACAAGCCCCGACUUCUGGAAGGGAUGCAUUUAUUAGAUAAAAGGUCGAUGCUGGCUCUGCCCGUUGCUGCAAUAAUUUAUGAUAACUAGACGGAUCGCACGGCCAUCGUGUUGGCGAUGCAUCAUUUAAAUUUAUGCCCUAUCAACUUUUAAUGGUAGGAUAGUGGCCUACCAUGGUGGUGACGGGUGACGAAGAAUUAAGAUUCGAUUUCAGAGAGGGAACUUGAGAAACGACCACUACAUCUAAGGAAGGCAGCAGGCGGGCAAAUUACCCAUUCCUGACACGGAGAGGUAGUGACAAUAGAUAACAAUACCGGGCUCAAUGAGUCUGGUAAUUGGAAUGAGUACAAUCUAAAUCCCUUAACGAGGAUCAAUUAGAGGGAAAGUCUGGUGCCAGCAUCCACGGUAAUUCCAGCUCCAAUAUCGUAUAUUUAAGUUGUUGCAGUUAAAAAGCUCGUAGUUGGACUUUGGGAUGGGCCAACCAAUUCGCCUACGGUGUGCACUGAUCGUCUCAUCCUUUCUAUCCGGGAUGCGCUCUUGGCCUUAACUGGCUGGGUCAUGCCUUCGGCGCUGUUACUAUGAAGAAAUUAGAGUUAUCAAAGAAAGCCUACACUCUGUAUACAUUAGCAUGGGAUAACAUUAUAGGAUUUUGGUCCCAUUACAUUGGCCUUCGGGAUCGGAGUAAUGAUUAACAGAGACAAUUGGGGGCAUUCGUAUUUCGUAGUCAGAGGUGAAAUUCUUGGAUUUAUGAAAGACGAAAAUCUUCGAAAGCAUUUGCCAAGGAUGUUUUCAUUAAUCAAGAACAAAAGUUGGGGGCUCGAAGACGAUCAGAUACCGUCCUAGUCUCAACCAUAAAUGAUGCCGACCAGGGAUCGGCGGAUGUUACUUUUAGGACUACGCCGGCACCUUAUGAGAAAUUAAAGUUUUUGGGUUCCGGGGGGAGUAUGGUCGCAAGGCUAAAACUUAAAGGAAUUGAUAGAAGGGCACCACCAGGAGUGGAGCCUGCGGCUUAAUUUGACUCAACAUGGGUAAACUUACCACGUCCAAACAUAGUAAGGAUUGACAGACUGAGAGCUCUUUCUUGAUUCUAUGGGUGGUGGUGCAUGGCCGUUCUUAGUUGGUGGAGCGAUUUGUCUGGUUAAUUCCGUUAACGAACGAGACCUCAGCCUGCUAACUAGCUAUGCGGAGGNCUCUGGUUAAUUCCAUUAAUGAACGAGACCUCAGCCUGCUAACUAGCUAUGCAGAGGUAUCCCUUCGCGACCAGCUUCUUAGAGGGACUACGACCUUUUAGGCCGCGGAAGUAUGAGGCAAUAACAGGUCUGUGAUGCCCUUAGAUUUUCUGGACCGCACGCACGCUACGCUGAUGUAUUCAAAGAGUUUAUAGCCUUGGCCGAUAGGCUCGGGUUAUCUUUGAAAUUUCAUCGUAAUAGGGAUAGAUCAUUGCAAUUGUUCGUAUUCAAUGAGGAAUUCCUAGUAAGCGCGAGUCAUUAGCUCACCUUGACUACAUCCCUACCCUUUCUACACACCGCCCGUCGCUCCUACCAAUUGAAUGAUUCGGUGAAAUGUUAGGAUCGCAGCGACGCGGGCAGUUCUCUGCCCACGACGUCACGAGAAGUCCAUUAAACCUUAUCAUUUAGAGGAAGGAGAAGUCAUAAGAAGCUUUUCAUAGGUGAACCUAUUGAAG
rnacentral:rRNA from 1 species